rnacentral:piRNA from 1 species
UCCGUUACAAGCUGAAGACCAGACUGGAU